rnacentral:lncRNA from 1 species
ACACCCACAUUUUUUAUUUCCAUUAAACUACACAUUGUUCGCUAUAAAUAAGCUUCCCCCCUACAUCUCCUUACACAACAUUCCCAACCAAAAUCUCCUUCCAUUUUAGAGAGAAAAACCACUCGCUUCUCACAAGCCAUUGAUAGAGAAGCAAUCAAAUCAAAGUUUUAGUUUUAGAGAGAGAAAGAACCCAAAAUCCUCUUACUAUGAGAACCUCCCGUGUGUGUUCUGUGCUGCUCAUUGUCCUAUGGGUGGCCAUGGUGGUUAUGCCUGUCACCAUAGAGGGAGCAAGGCCGCUAUGUGGCGAGUUUUCCGGUGCGAAUCACAUCCUCGAGUUGUAUCCGACGGCCUUCAAGACUGUCAAGAAUGAAAUGUUCACGUGGAUCGGACGGUUGGAGGAGGGACCGAGCCCGAAAGGCCCAGGGCAUUAGGAAUUCCUUUUUCUUUAAAGAAAGAAGCUGUCAUCAUUUUCAUCAUACAAGCUUUAUCUCUAACUAUUUGAGAUCAGCUUUUCUUAAAAUAAAUUAGUAUAGGGUAGAAUCAAAGAUUAAUUGGGCUUCACACAUAACUGUACAUAGAGAUAUUUAUCUAUUCUUUUGUAUUCUUUUACACUUUAUUGAAGUAUACAAAUCUUGUUUAUUGUGUUCAUUAUAUGUUAA